UGCAAGUCGAGCGGAGUUACUUUGAAAGCUUGCUUUCAAAGUAACUUAGCGGCGGACGGGUGAGUAACACGUAGGCAACCUGCCCCUUAGACUGGGAUAACUACCGGAAACGGUAGCUAAUACCGGAUAAUUUCUUUUUUCUCCUGAAGAAAGAAUGAAAGACGGAGCAAUCUGUCACUGAGGGAUGGGCCUGCGGCGCAUUAGCUAGUUGGUGGGGUAACGGCCCACCAAGGCGACGAUGCGUAGCCGACCUGAGAGGGUGAACGGCCACACUGGGACUGAGACACGGCCCAGACUCCUACGGGAGGCAGCAGUAGGGAAUCUUCCGCAAUGGACGAAAGUCUGACGGAGCAACGCCGCGUGAGUGAUGAAGGUUUUCGGAUCGUAAAGCUCUGUUGCCAGGGAAGAACGUCCGGUAGAGUAACUGCUACCGGAGUGACGGUACCUGAAAAGAAAGCCCCGGCUAACUACGUGCCAGCAGCCGCGGUAAUACGUAGGGGGCAAGCGUUGUCCGGAAUUAUUGGGCGUAAAGCGCGCGCAGGCGGUCAUUUAAGUCUGGUGUUUAAACCUUGGGCUCCACCUGAGGUCGCACUGGAAACUGGGUGACUUGAGUACAGAAGAGGAAAGUGGAAUUCCACGUGUAGCGGUGAAAUGCGUAGAUAUGUGGAGGAACACCAGUGGCGAAGGCGACUUUCUGGGCUGUAACUGACGC
rnacentral:rRNA from 2 species